CCAAUAGCGUAUAUUAAAGUUGUUGCAGUUAAAAAGCUCGUAGUUGAAUUUCGGGAUCAAUACGUCGGUCGUGCUUCGGUACGUACUGGCGUCAUUGAUUUCUCCCUUCUGACGAACCAUGAUGUCAUUAACUUGGUGUCAUGGGAAAUCAGGACUGUUACUUUGCAAAAAUUAGAGUGUUUAAAGCAGGCUCACGCUUGAAUACAUUAGCAUGGAAUAAUGAAAUAGGACGUUCGAACCUAUUUUGUUGGUUUCUAGGAUCAACGUAAUGAUUAAUAGGGUUAGUUGGGGGCAGUAGUAUUCAAUUGUCAGAGGUGAAAUUCUUGGAUUUAUUGAAGACUAACUACUGCGAAAGCAUUUGCCAAGGAUGUUUUCAUUAAUCAAGAACGAAAGUUAGGGGAUCGAAGACGAUCAGAUACCGUCGUAGUCUUAACCAUAAACUAUGCCGACUAGGGAUCGGAUGAUGUUAAUUUUUUAAUGACUCAUUCGGCGCCUUACG
rnacentral:rRNA from 1 species